rnacentral:lncRNA from 1 species
AUGUCUGUCUCUCUAUCUACAUUGUUCGAUGCUUUUUUAAUUAAUUGCAAAUUACUAAGCAGAAGCAGAGAAAAUUUCGCGAAUCCAAAUCGCAUUUAUUUCAGAAGUUUGUGCAAAAUCUUGUAUUCUAUACUCGAAAGUGUUUAAUAUAUUGUGCGAGGAGAGCAAUAAUUUUGAAACAUACCUAAAACAAAGAAAAUUCGACCGCGAAAAACAGAAAUUAUUGAGUAGUGCAAAUUGCUGGCGAAAACUUCACAAAGGCAAACCGAAAUUGUAUAACAAAGCAGAAGAAGUUGGAGAAAGAAGAACUUAGGGUUUGAAUAUUCUAUUAUCUUGCAUUUGGACCUAUCUUGCAUAGUUACAAAUUCAAAAAUAUUGCGUGGUGCAAAAGCUUAAUAAAAGCAACUAAAAACUUCCAUAACUUAGCAAACAAGUACUUUACUUGCUCAAAUUACAGCAAAUAUCUACCGGCAGGAAACAUUUUAUAAAACAAAUAAAUACAUACAUACAUAUUUAUGCAAUUGCAAAAAAAUUUAAGUAAAUGUUAGAGUGAACUGAAAUUUUUGGGCGUAAAAACCGGAACUGCAGACUGUUUCGUGUGCCUUUAAUAGAAGGAAUGAGUGAAAUUUUCCAAUAAAUAAAAAAAAAAUCAUUAAAAUAUCUGUAAACUCAUAUGUAUCUACAUUAGUAUAUACUAAUUCAGUGUUUAUAAAUUGAACUGCAAAGUAUUUACCAAGCGCACUUCAAAUCUUUUUGUAGUCUACGCCAACGAUUUUUUGUGUAAUUGGCUAUUUUUAGCAUAUCGAUGUGCCGAAAGUGCAUUAAUGCUUCCCAGUAGUUAAAAGAAAAAAUAACGCAAAAAUAUCGAAAUAAUACGCAAGCAAUAAAUGUAAAAGUCUUGUCCGGAACUGAUUGCUAUUGUCGCCAAAGGCUUAUUCCGCAAAACAAUAAGUAUUUCAACAACAAAAAAAAAAUAUAAAAAAUAAAAAGACUGUGGAAAAUUCAAAUUAAAGUGCUUAGUUGCGUCACAUGUGCCCGUAUAUAUGUAAUUUUCUCCUCGACUAAAACGAUCCAACAGUAGCUUCCAACCCCUUCUAAAAACAUAUGCGUAUUGUGUUCUCGUUUUACAUACCUAUGAACAUACAAACAACAAAUUAACGCAACGCUAUCACAUAAUCAACGCCAACAUACCUAAAUACAUUUACAUACAUAAAUAUAUAACCAUACUUUUAUGCAAUAAAUAUUGAAUGCAAUUGUAGCGUAUUGGAAUUUGGAAUAAAAAGCCAGCAUACUCCUUUGUGUAAAGUGAAAGCAAAAAAAAAAAACAAAAAAUAAAAAUAAAUCCAUACCUAAUAUAAAUAUAAAACACCUGUGAAUUGCUCAAAGUGUGUUUUUCGGAAUAAAAUAUUAACACAUCGUUGGUGCCAUACAAACAUACAUACGCUCCAACAAAUAGUCUAAAAUAGGUAUGUACUUGCUUAUUGCAGUUAAUUUGCCGAAAGCCGCAAAGUGUCCAGCAAAGUAAAGUGCCAAGUAAAGAUAGUGGAGAAAACAAAAGUGCUAAAAAGCGUACGUCUAGAAACAGAGAAGAACUGAUAAGAGAAUAAAUAGCAGAAGCCUCAGCCCCAUUAGCUGUGCGAAAGUGCCAACAAAACAGGAGAAGCAAAUAAAAACAAAAAGACGAAAUAAAGAAAACAGCAAAGCAAAGAUACAUAAAUAAGUAAAUAUUCGGUGAGAAAUAGCGCGUUGAUUGGCGGAAGCAAACAAACAAAUUCUGAAAGAGCUGAAAUACAAAGUGGCAUGUGAAUGCAUCACGCUAAACACGAGACACUGGAAUUUAAAUAAAGUA